rnacentral:rRNA from 1 species
GGAUUAGAUACCCUGGUAGUCCACGCCGUAAACGAUGGAUGCUAGUUGUCGGGCAGCAUGCUGUUCGGUGACGCAGCUAACGCAUUAAGCAUCCCGCCUGGGGAGUACGGCCGCAAGGUUAAAACUCAAAGAAAUUGACGGGGGCCCGCACAAGCGGUGGAGCAUGUGGUUUAAUUCGAAGCAACGCGAAGAACCUUACCUGCGCUUGACAUCCCUAUCGCGAUUACCGGAGACGGUUUUCUUCAGUUCGGCUGGAUAGGUGACAGGUGCUGCAUGGCUGUCGUCAGCUCGUGCCG